ensembl:lncRNA
GAAGAGCUUCACACGGAAGCAGCAGCACAUGGAGGCAGGAUCACACGAAGGCAGGAUCACACGGAGGCAGGAUAUCAGCUCUCAUGGCUUCACAUCUCUUCUUCUUGUUCCUUCUGUAUCAAGCAGCCUCAGAGACUGUGGUGAUACGAGUGGAACCUGGACAGGAUGUAAUUCUGCCGUGUGACGCUGGUGACACUUCUAUCAGAGCUGCAGAGUGGAUCAGAUCUGACCCGAAGCCAUCAGAGGACAUCCUGUUUUGGACAGAUGGACACUCAGACACCUUUAAAGAUCGAGUGUAUCUGGUGAACGAUCAGCUGAAGACUAGAGACGUGUCUCUGAGCCUGAAGAACGUGAGCAGAGAAGACAACGGUACUUAUGAGUGUCGAGUUAAAACACCUGGUUCAAGACGUAACACGAGAGCUGUCAUCAAGUCUGAGCCAAUCAGCAUCGUCCAGCUGCAGGUGACAGACCCAGGUGAGUGUGUGUAGAUCAGUGUGUGUGUCUGUGUGUAGAUCAGUGUGUGUGUCUGUGUGUAGAUCAGUGUGUGUGUCUGUGUGUAGAUCAGUGUGUGUGUGUCUGUUCACUCAUGUGCUGACUGAUGUUCACUGUCACCUGCAGAGAACCAGAAGGAAUACAUCAGCGGUGGAGACAUCAAGGCUGAAAACUCUGCUCCUCACCACGUUGGAUUGGGAGCAGCAGUUGGUGUUCUGGUUUGUUUGACUUUUUCUUUUCAGCAAAUCUAAAAGACAAAGAGAAAAGAAACCAGAACCGCCUGCUCUUAAUCUCAUCUGAUAUGAUCCGAUCAGCUGACAUGUCACAGACCUCUUUACAGAAUGUGUUUAUUACCUGUUUGAUGUUCAUUCUCUCUGUGGGUGAGAGUUCAGGUAUAGAUCAGGUGUUUGAGGCUCUCCAUCAGGAUGAUCUGGUAUCAGUAAUGUUCCCCUUCAUGAGUCACUACCUUAUCGUGGUGAUGGGGUUUGUGUACCUGUUGACUCUGGGAUCUGUGUUGUCUGGAGCACUGAAGCUCCUGGUAGGGUCCCCCAUGACAAAGUGGUCCCAGAGGAGGGUCAGACUAGAUGUGACUCCAGUGUUAUUAUUAUUAUUAUUAUUAUUAUUAUUAUUAUUAUUAUUAUUAUUGUUAUUAGGGGGCCAAGCCCGAGGGGCCGAGGAAACGUGUAUGCAAGCAUAUGCGUUUCCUUUUUGCCUGUCACUAAAGCUGGGUUUUCUGACAUAGGACACGCCCACUUCUGCUGCACAUUUUGUUUGCUAAAGCGCCACAUAUGCAAAACCUACUUUUUCGAACUCCUCCUUGGGAUUUUGUCCAAUCCCCGAUGACAGGGAGCCUGUGAGUUGCGGAGUGUUGGAGGAUUGUGGUGUUGAAGUUCGUCUUCUAAUGUGUUGCUCCUUAAGUUAAAAAAAGGGGAAAAGUUAAUGUCACAGAGUUCUACUAACAGAUAGAUAGAUAGAAUUACUUUAAUUAGAAGAGAAUUUAAUUUAAAGAUACAUUUUUAAAAUUAAAUUUUUUAUUUAAAAUAAUUUAAUUUAAAGAAUUUAAAGAGAAUUUAAUUUAAUUUACUUUAGAACAGAAUCAGUCUUGGAUUGAUCACUUUGGUUUAUUUUACAAAGAGUCAGAACAGAACAGCUGUUAGCUUCCCUGAGAGAACAGAGUGUUGUGUUUCAGAGAUGAGUGAUGGUGUAACAUCAUGUUGUGUCCCACAUCAUUAAUCUCAGAGAUAACUCAGUCUUUUAUUUCUCACCUGCUGAUCAGACAGCUGAUGAGGCGUCUUACUGACCUGAGCACGGUUCAUUUAGUGUUAGCAUCUUUGGCUAACAGCUCCACUAGUGUUAGCAUCAGGUGGAUACAUCCAGUCACACACAUCCGGAUCAGAACCAGACACUGGUAUUGGCUCGGUCCGUCUUUAGUCUUGUGGUGUGUUCAGGUGCAGCUCAGACUCAGGAGACGUCUUCAGAGUCAGUUUAGUGUGUGGGCCUCUGACAGGUGGAUCAGUACUGAUGGAUCAGACGUGGUGGACCCGGUCAGAACCGCAGCUUUGUCCUCAGAUUUAGAGUCUCUAACAGAACAUGAAGCCCACAGAGAGUCUGAAAUCAGCUGUAAAGAGGUCUGAAACAUGAACAGCAGGAUGAUGCAUUUCAUAUUUUAUAUAAUAACAGCUUGUGUCUGCUUUGAUUUAUAUAUUUGAUGCUUCUGAUGUUAAUAAGACAUAAUGUUGUAUUUUUUAUAUCCAGGAGUAGACUGAAGUCUGCUGAAUGUAAAACUUAAAACAAAGAUGAGACGUGAAGUCAAAGUGUCUCAGAGGAACCUGCAGGACGAGCUCAGCACUAAAAACCUUCAGACACUUAAUGACACAGAUGUUACUGUGGGAACAAACAUCUGGAUAUUAUUAUUAUUAUCUACUGAGUAGAAUCACAUGAUGUGAAAUAAUCUGACUUUUACCAAAGAACUGUUCAAAGUUGAAGCUGAGGCACAAUUAAUGAUCCUGUGAUUUAAUUCUUAUCAGAAAUUCACAGAAAUAUGAUAAUAAUAAUGAUAAUAUAAACCUUCAAUAACAGACAGAAAACUCUCCUACUGUGAUUAUAGAGCUUUUAUUUUUAUAUGAAAUGAUGAAAUGUUUUUGUUGUGUUUGUUACAUUGUGUUCUCGUCUAUCAGAUCGUUACAUCACAUUAUUAUAUACAAGUUAUAUAAUAAUUACACAACAUGAGAACAUUUAAAAAGAAGAAAGAACACAUACACAAACUUUAGCAGUUUUAGCAUCUCAUGCUAACAGACGCACCUUAAAAUGUAAAACAGAACCAGGUGCUGUUUGUUCUGAAUGUCCUGUUGUGUUUAUAUGUUAACAUGUUUGAGUCGGUUUCUGGCUUUUGAAAUGUAUUCAACAUUUAUUUUGCACAUGCAAGCAAAGAUUAAUAAAGUAUCUAACAAAAAGUCAGAACUGUUUUUCUGUGUUUUUUACAGUGGCUUUAAUCUAAACUAAACUAAUAUAAUAUAAUAUAAUAUAGUAUAAUAUGAUAUAAUCUAAUCUAACUCUUCCAUAAAUAUUCCAAAACGUGUUGACACUAAAUUUAAAUUUGAAUUUAAUUCUGAGAAAAUACAAAGUGUAACCAAACUGUAUUUUGUGACAAAACACUGAUGCUCCAACAUCUUUAUAUAUCUAUAAAAUAGUAAAAACCUGAAAAGAGCUGAAUAUACUUUUACAGCAGAUUUAUAUAAAGUGAGCAGGACUGAAGCUCACAGUGAGUUUCAUUUCUGGAGAACUGAAUGUUGAAGUGGUUUAUCUGCUGUGCAGCCACACCCUCAGUUACACCACAGCAGAGUUUCAUAUAACAGCCUGUAAUCACACAAACAGCUUCAACACAAUAAUUAUAUUAAAACAGGUUUGUGUGAGUUACAUUUAGUCACCUGAACGUCUCAUCACACUGAGUUGAUGAAGGUUCAUUUAGAACAACAUGUUUAUGAAACACAGUCUUCAGUUUGCUCUGAUCUCUGCAGAAUAACUCAGUCUGUGUUUCAUGUUUCAUGAGUUUCAGACAUUUUCUCUUUUUUAUGUAUAUUCAGCUUCUGCUUUCUGUCAGCUGAUGGGAAUUUAACUCACACAGAUAUUCACAUAAACAACAUGUUUCUGUUCCUUAACUAAAGCUGUGGAUGAUCUGAGCUGCUGAAACACACCUGAGUCUCCAGGUAACCUGCCAGGUAACAGCUAACACCUGUCCUCCUGUCCUCAGAGACAGAGUUCAGUCUGACUUCUCUACAACAUCAACAGGCUCAGAAACACGUCUCAGAUCAGUUACUUUAUGACUUUUGAACCAUGUCCAGCUUUUAGGACUGCAGUCACACCCAGUUAGUGAUAAGAAAAGCUUAUCACUGAUUCGCUUUCAUUUCUUGCAAACUGCAGUCCGUUUCCGAGAAAUGGAAACUCCCCAGAGCUCAACAUGGCGUCAGUGUUUGUGAACAGUCAUCAGAGAGCUUAAAAUGGUGUUUAGGUGGAGCUUGUGGUCUGAAAGCGCUCUGAGCUCUAGUUACUGAGCACCUCCCCCACAAUCUGCAACAGGACGAGGUUUCAACAUGAGAACAGACCGCUGCUGUCUGACUGCUUUUACUGUGCAGAGAAACAGACUGACAAUAUAGAAGAAAUGAGGUUUAUCAUGAAUCUAUUCACUGUGAAUGACCUCAUAUCUGAAAUAUAAUAGAUAUGAUUCAUCUGCUGUGGGAAGAAUAUUGAAUGUCUGCAUUGUUGUUGGAACAACUGACGAACACAGAGACUGAACUCCUCCACUGUGAGCUGAGAGUCAAAUGUUCCACUGUGAAUUAUUGAUAGGACUGAAAACUGGAGGUGAAGAGAACGGUUGACUCUUUAUCAGGACUCUCUGAUCAAACUGUCGUCUGUCUUCUGGACACUUGGUCACCUAUGUGUUCACAAUAACACACCUUGUUUUAUCUGCCACUGUUUGUGUUUCAUCACGUUGUGUUGAAUGUGUCAAUAAGAGUGACGAAUGAAAACUUUGUUGGCCGACAGUUUUCUGUAGUUCAUCCUGUUGAACUCCUUCAUGAUCCUGUUCAUCAUCACAGUUCAGUCACAGAACUCUGCAUCCAGAACUUCUGCUGUUCUGAACGUAGAGAACCAGUCAGGAAACAUGAACUGAUGAGGUCCAGUAAGAGGAAGAUAUUUUACAAACAGCACAUCGUUGUUAUCUCUUCCUGUAAGUUUGGUCCAUUUGAACAGAGG